AGUGAACGCUGGCGGUAGGCCUAACACAUGCAAGUCGAACGGAAGCACAGUAAGAGCUUGCUCUUACGGGUGGCGAGUGGCGGACGGGUGAGGCAUACAUCGGAAUCUACUUUUUCGUGGGGGAUAACGUAGGGAAACUUACGCUAAUACCGCAUACGACCUACGGGUGAAAGCAGGGGAUCUUCGGACUUUGCGCGACUGAAUGAGCCGAUGUCGGAUUAGCUAGUUGGCAGGGUAAAGGCCCACCAAGGCGACGAUCCGUAGCAGGUCUGAGAGGAUGAUCGGCCAAACGGGAAAUGAGACACGGUCCAGACUCCUACGGGAGGCAGCAGUAGGGAAUGUUGCGCAAUGGGCGAAAGCUUGACGGAGCAACGCCGCGUGAGUGAUGAAGGUCUUCGGAUCGUAAAAAUCUGUUAUUAGGGAAGAAAAAAUGUGUAAGUAACUAUGCACGUCUUGACGGUACCUAAUAAGAAAGCCACGGCUAACUACGUG
rnacentral:rRNA from 1 species